rnacentral:lncRNA from 1 species
UCAGAGGGAUUUUCAGGACAGCCAGGGCUACAAAGAGAAAAGACUCUGUCACAUGAAAACGGGAGGGGGAGGGAGAGGAGGGAGGAUAGGCUGGAGUUGGCUAUUACUGUUGGUAGAAUGCUUGCUUAAGAUUCACUGAAGUCUAAAGUCUAUCCCUAAGUGCACCACAAAAUGCAUGUGGUGGUGCAUGGCUCUAACCCCAGCCCUUGGGAAAUCGAGGCAGGAGGAUCAGGAGUUCAAGGUCAUCGUCCUUUACAUAAUGAGUUCAGUGUCCAGCCUGGAAUACAUGAGACCAUGUCUCAAAACCACAGAUGUGGACUCAGCCCACAGGAAGAAGACUGUUUGUAUAACACAGGUGUCUGUUCCUCUGGCUCAGCCUUGAGCUUCUACUGUAAAGUCCAGCAUUGAUUGUGUCCUGAGAUUUUGACUUGCUAAUUCCCUAAGGUUUCUAUAAAGCUGGACAUUAGGUGAGGAACGUGAGGGCCUGGAUUUGCCCUGCCUUUCAUGUCUUUCCAGCUAUCCCCAUUGCCAGUUCCUAGUCUGCUUGGGUUGGUCCUCUUGGUUGUGCUCCAUGUUAGCUGGCCAACCUCUGUCCCUGUGGGGAUACUAUCACUUCCUCAUUGGGCAGCUGUUGUGUGCUGCAGGGCAGUGAGUUCUCCUUAGCUCUGGCCCUGGCACCCACCCACACAUUGCUUUUUGCUUUCCCCUCCUCCACCACAGGGAACUAGCUGCCCAGAUGUCCUGCUGGUCCCAUACAUAAGCAGAGGCCUGUAAAAGGUCUGGUCUGGUGAUGAGCAUCUUUGAUGAUAAUGACCUCUUGGGAAGGAACAAGAAGCCUUUCUUGGGACCCCAUAGCUGGAUUGCUGUCCAAAAGGAGGGACAUCAGCAUCCGGCAAGUGAACAGCUCCUAGUGUGACCCAUUCCUGAGUGCCUAUUAUACUGUCACUAUUGUGCCAGAAUGGAGCUUUCUAGAAGACUAAUUCACCCACAUACCUCACAUUCCUUCCUGAGUCCCUAACCCUGGAGGUCACAAAGUGUUUGAGCCUUCAGGAUAGGAGGAGUCUCUUGGGUCUCAUGCUGAGCCUCUGAAAUGUCAUGCAGCCCUGACUCACAGUUAUAAACAGUUUGUGUACCCUGCCCUGUUUGGGGGAAAUGUGGGGGUUCACGGUGGCAAAGUAUUAAAUGCAGAAAUGCAAGAAACUGCAGUCUGAGAGGUGGAGUGCUCCCUGUGUGUAAGCAUAAGGACCUGGGUUCAGAUCCCAGCACCCGUGUAAAGCGCCACAUAUGUCCUUGUUCGCUGUGACCCUGGCACUCUGGAGUAGAGACAACAGAAACCAAUUCUAGGGUCCUUCUGGCCAGCUAGUGUAGACAAAAUGAUGAAUAGUACUCUCUGGAUUCAGAGAGAGGCCCUGACUCAAAAUCAGGGGCAGGACUCUGAGGCCUGUAGACCUGUCUCUGUGCUUACAAAAAACUACUACUGUUUCAGAGGACCUGAAUUCAGUUCACAGCACCCACAUCUGGCUCUGUGAGCCACCAAUAAUUUCAGUUCCAGAGCCCUGACUUCUUCCCGCCUCUCUAAGCAUACAUACACACAGACAUGCAUGUGAAUAGAAAUUUGAAAGUCUUUUUUAAAACAAAAAAGAUAGCUGGGCAGUGAUAGCACAGAACUUCAAUCACACCAUUCGUGAAGCAGAUGGAGGUGGGUCUCUGUGAGUUUGAGGCCACCCUGGUCUACAGAGUGUGUUCCAGGAUAGCCAGGGCUAUACAGAGAGAUCCUGUCUUGGGAGAAGUGCAGAAUAAAGAAAAGC